GAAGUAGAGCAUUGAGGCUAUCCACAUUAGCAAAUUUAAUCAACCACUUAGAAUAUGAGUUUGUGCUGUCAACUCUCAUAACUAUAACCACAAGCCACAUCAUGAUCACGUUCUUUCAGCUUCCUCCUCCCAAAGUAAGCAUUUAUAGUAACCUGGUUCGGUUUUUCUCAUAUUUGGUAUGUAUAGCCAAACGUAUUCAACAUGCAAGAAAUUUCUCUUCAACUCCUCUCAACUUAACGCUAUAAAUCUCAGACGGCCUUCUGGCGCUUCUCUCAAACUCCACAGAGACCCUAAACAAAAAGUAACAAAAAUCCAGAUUUAUGGGUUCAGUGUGUUGAUUACGCAGAUCGAGCGGAAAAGAACCCGUGAAAAGCAUCCAAUAAGUCGAAUGUUGAGGGUGGUUGAAGAGAAACUUCAUGAUGUUCUUAUCGGACUGGAUCAGUCUCAUCCUCCCUCUACCAAACGUGAUGAUGCUAGACAGUUUAAGAAGUUUCGCCUCCCUUAUCUUGGAAUAGAACUUUGUGAGAGCAUACAUGCUUAUAUCCACAUCUAUGUGCCUGAUCACCCAAUAAACAAAGCUGUUAAAAGAAAUUUGUGUAUUUUCAUCAACACCUUUUUAUUAUAUUUUAAACAAAGCCGUCUUUUCAUCCGCUUCUCAUUUGGUAGGCAUAACUUUCACAUUCAUCUAAAUGCUUAUACUUUCUAACUAGUUUUCAGGACAAAGUGAUUGACACGUUUUUCUUGGCUUACAUCAUUGGAUGGUGGAGAAAAGCAAAUUUGAUCAGGAAUCAACCACUUAUGUGGAUGCUUUUGAUUGAUUUUGAGUUAUUGGAGCUUACUUUUCGGCACAUGUUUUCAAAUUUACACGAGUGCUGGUGGGAAAGUUUUGUUCUGAAUAUCUUGAUAUGCAAUUGAUUUGGGAUUUGGGCUGGCAUGUAUAGAGUACGCCACUUUGAUGGUCAAACAUACGAGUUGGUGUUCACACAUGACCUAGCUAUCGUACGUUUGAUACGAAUAUUGAACUUUUUUAGAUGGAAAGGGCACUGGCGCAGUUCACGCCAACUCAUUGAGCAAAGAUGAGUGGCAUCCACUGUAAGGCUCUUGGCGUUUUAUUCAAGCAUGCACUCUUUGGUUCAUCUUCUUAACAUUGGAGUUGAACACAAUCUUUCUCAAGUUUAACAUGUGCUUCCCUCCUUGAAACCAAAUGAGUCUCUAUAGGCUGCUUUUGUGGUGGCUCAUAAUGGAAGCAACAACAUGGGAGUACAAUUCAUAUCUCCAAGACCAGUAUAGCUAUUAGCCAGUGUGAUAUUGGUGUGGUGUGGUCAAGAUAUGGUUUUAGCCAGAAUGCAGUGAGUAACGUAACUCAAAGACUGCGGUACGGGGACCCAGAUGAUGUGGAAUGGAACUUGGGAAAGAAGCAUGUGGUUUAAUUCAUCAAACACUGUGACGGUUGGGGUCAUCUGCUUCUCUCAGUUCCGACAGACCUCAACAACCACAGAGGAUGGUGAAGGUUCUGUGUUUCUGAUGAAGCUCGAGCUCAGUUACAAGCGAUGCUUGAAAGGGGAAGAAACCAGUCUUUUGGCAGUUUAUAUAAAGAGGGGCAUCGACAUAUCGAGAUGGAGUGGUGAACCGAGGCGGAGAUUGGGAAUAUGAUGAAGUCUGGAGAAUGUUGUUUAACUAUUCACUGAGAUUUGAGAGGCUUGGUGGAUGUAAGAUAAAGCUUGGUGAAUGUAAAACAAGAUUCUAAUGAUUUUAAUACACUUAUGCAUUAUGUUUACGACAGUCAUAUAUAAUUUAUAGUAUGUGCAUUCUAGGAUCAACCAUUAACGUGUUCAA